GUGCUUGCUUCUGCAGCACAUAUAUUGAAGUUGGAACGAUACAGAAAAGAUUAGCAUGGCCCCUGCGCAAGGAUGACAUGUGUAUUCAUGAAGCAUUCUAUAUUUUA